rnacentral:rRNA from 1 species
UGAAUACGAGAUGCUACGGCGUCGAAGCAGUCUAUGUCAUACUUCCAAGAAAAGCUCGCACUGUCAUAAACAAAUAAUGCCUGUACCAUAACCGACACAGGUGGGUAGGUAGAGUAUACUAAGGGGCGCGAGAUAACUCUCUCUAAGGAACUCGGCAAAAUGACUCCGUAACUUCGGGAGAAGGAGUGCCUUAUUUAUAAGGUUGCAAUAACAAGAUCCAAGCAACUGUUUAUCAAAAACACAGGUCUCCGCUAAGUCGUAAGACGAUGUAUGGGGGCUGACGCCUGCCCAGUGCCAGAAGGUUAAAGAAGUUGGUUAGCAUUCGCGAAGCUGAUAACUGAAGCCCUGGUGAACGGCGGCCGUAACUAUAACGGUCCUAGGUAGCGAAAUUCCUUGUCGGGUAAGUUCCGACCCGCACGAAAGGCGUAAUGAUUUGGAUACUGUCUCGGAGAGGGGCUCGGUGAAAUAGACUUGUCUGUGAAGAUGCGGACUACCUGCACCAGGACAGAAAGACCCUAUGAAGCUUUACUGUAACUUGAGAUUGAAAUUGGACUUUACUUGCGCAGUAUAGGUGGGAGGCGUUGAUAAUAUUCUUGCGGGAUUAUUUGAGCCAUCAGUGAGAUACCACUCUUGUAAUGUUAGAUUUCUAACUUUGUAUCAUUAUCUGGUCAAAGGACAGUUUCAGGCGGGCAGUUUGACUGGGGCGGUCGCCUCCUAAACGGUAACGGAGGCGCACAAAGGUUUCCUCUGAACGGGUAGAAAUCGUAUCUAGAGUGUAAAGGCAUAAGGAAGCUUGACUGUGAGACCUACAAGUCGAGCAGGGACGAAAGUCGGUCUUAGUGAUCUGACGGUGCUGAGUGGAAAGGCCGUCACUCAACGGAUAAAAGUUACUCUAGGAUAACAGGCUGAUCUCCCCCAAGAGUUCACAUCGACGGGGAGGUUUGGCACCUCGAUGUCGGCUCAUCGCAUCCUGGGGCGGUAGUACGUCCCAAGGGUUGGGCUGUUCGCCCAUGAAAGCGGUACGCGAGCUGGGUUCAGAACGUCGUGAGACAGUUCGGUCCAUAUCCGGUGUAGGCGUUAGAAUAUUGAGAGGAGCCUUCUUUAGUACGAGAGGACCGAGAAGGACAUACCUCUGGUGUACCAGUUAUCGUGCCAACGGUAAACGCUGGGUAGCUAUGUAUGGAGUGGAUAACCGCUGAAAGCAUCUAAGUGGGAAGCCCACCUCAAGAUAAGUAUUCUCGU